rnacentral:rRNA from 1 species
UACGGAAGGCAGCAGUGGGGAAUAUUGCACAAUGGGCGAAAGCCUGAUGCAGCUAUGCCGCGUGUAUGAAGAAGGCCUUAGGGUUGUAAAGUACUUUCAUCGGGGAGGAAAAAACAAAACUAAUAAUUUUAUUUCUUGACGUUACCCGAAAAAGAAGCACCGGCUAACUCCGUGCCAGCAGCCGCGGUAAUACGGAGGGUGCUAGCGUUAAUCAGAAUUACUGGGCGUAAAGAGCACGUAGGUGGUUUUUUUAAAGUCAGAUGUGAAAUCCCUGGGCUUAACCUAGGAACUGCAUUUUGAAACUGGCAGGCUUGAGUCUUGUAGAGGGGGUUAGAAUUCCAGGUGUAGCGGUGAAAUGCGUAGAGAUCUGGAGGAAUACCGGUGGCGAAGGCGGCCCCUGGACAAAGACUGACGCUCAGGGUGCGAAAGCGUGGGGAGCAAACAGGGAUUAGAUACCCGU